UACGUAACGUCAAUUGUUGCUGUCAAGCAGCAGCUGAUCACCUACUAUUUUAUAUAUCUUAAUAUAAUAUUUAUGUAAUUUUUCAAUAUAACAUCUCUUCAGAGAUGCUCCGAAAAGUGGUGUUCGGGUCUGGCCUAGUAUCGCUGGUGCCAACUAUUAGUGCUGCUUCCCCAGUACCGGGUGAGCCCGCAAAACCUCCUCCGAUGAGACCCUCGGAUUUGCCAAUAUACGAAGCUCCACACGCAGAUUAUGCAGAAUACAUCCAAUCAAAGAAAAAUUCAGAGAAGAACAGCUAUCUGAGAUCAGCGCUGCAGCAGCCGGUGCGGGCGGCGCGCGAAUGUGCGCAGGUCGCGUACGCGCAGACCGAGUCCGUCACCAACGCCGUGCAGGACAACUACCACCAAUUCCAGGAUAAAACAGAUUGGAUAGUGAAAUAUCUACGUGAGGAAGAAAAUAAAGAUAUCCGCUAUGGCGCCGUGGCUAUGGGCGGUCUCACAGGGUUCAUAUUUGGACUGAGAGGUGGAUUUAUCAGGAGGGUUCUGUACGCGAGCGUAAGCACCACGGCCAUGGGAUUUGUUUGUUUCCCAGACGAAACAAAAGAGCUUGUGAAGAGCAAUGGAGCACUUGCCAAACAAUACAUAAAUAUUGCGUACAACUUUUUAUAUGGAGUGAAACCUGGGGAUCCACAGCUCGAGGUGAAAUUCCCCGAGCUCACUGUGCCCAAAAACUUCUCGGAAUUCGUUGACUUGACCGUCUCUUUAGCGUCGUCAGUGAAACAAGCAGUGAUGCCCCCACCAGCAAAGGAAUCAGCCGAUUCUAAACCUUCAGACAAGAAGGCUUAGGUACAAUUUUGUAUUAUUUCUUUAAUGACGAAGUAGAUGACCGAGUACCCACUUCAGUGUGAAUGUGUGAGAACUCUUACCGCAUUUCCACUACACCCUUAGCGACGUCUUAUUUAUUACCGGCUAGUUGAAUUCAGUGUAAAUUACUUACGAAAUGUAAUUAAUUAAAAUGUAUAUUUUUAUUAUUGUGAGAUUUAUUUUACAUUGCAUCUGUUUACCUUUAAUUAUGUCAUUGUUAAGUUUUUAAAAAGUGGAGACAUAAACUAAAAUACAUAACAAA
rnacentral:misc_RNA from 1 species